UCUUGGUCAUUUUAGAGGAAGUAAAAGUCGUAACAAGGUUUUCCGUAGGUGAACCUGCGGAAGGAUCAUUAUCGAAAUUAUUGGUGAGGGUUGUAGCUGGCCUUUCGAGGCAUGUGCACGCUCGAGCCCUUAAUCCACUUUACACCUGUGCACUUAAUGUAGGUCGCCCUUAAAAAAGGUGACCUAUGUCUUAUCAUCAACCCAUCGUAUGUCUCAUAGAAUGUAAUCGAUAUCCUCGCCCUAAAAAAGCGUUGAUAAACUUAUACAACUUUCAACAACGGAUCUCUUGGCUCUCGCAUCGAUGAAGAACGCAGCGAAAUGCGAUAAGUAAUGUGAAUUGCAGAUUUUCAGUGAAUCAUCGAAUCUUUGAACGCACCUUGCGCUCCUUGGUAUUCCGAGGAGCAUGCCUGUUUGAGUGUCAUUAAAUUCUCAACUCCAAGGGUUUCACGACCUUUCGGAGAUUGGACUUGGAGGUGCUGGCCGCAUAUUGGUCGGCUCCUCUCAAAUGCAUCAGCGGAAUUCAACCUUUGGCUUCCGGAUGUCAGUGUGAUAAUCAUGUUGCGCUGUCGUUUGAUCCCUCAGAGUCCGCUUAUAAUGGUCUUCGGACAAAAUCAUCAUCAAAUUUGACCUCAAAUCAGGUAGGACUACCCGCUGAACUUAAGCAUAUCAAUAAGCGGAGAAAGGCGAAUCCGUAUCG
rnacentral:rRNA from 1 species